ensembl:lncRNA
CAGUGUUUUUAGCAUAACAAACUAAAGUUCAAGUCCUACCUCUUUUCUCUGAGAAAUUGCUGAGGAUGGAACAAUUUUUGAUGUAGUGUUGUGUGUGUGUGUGUGUGUGUGUGUUGAUAGCUCACACCUCGUGGAUACAUAUGGCUUCUUCUGUAAGGUGCAUGGAGGUCCUAUAGCGCUAUGAACAGCGUACUCUGAGGCGUGCUUCAUCCUGUGCUCAUUCAUUCCCAGCGGUUGGGAAUUGCUGUAGGUAUUGCUGUAUAUUCAUGUCAUAACUUCAUGAAUUCUUAAUAGUUGGGAAAAGAAAAAUGUUUGUUGCAUUGCUCAUCAGAUCUGAAGUUACUCAACUAGUGUGAAAUUCCACCUGCUUCUUCAGGAAAGAGUUUUAUCUUUCUUCUCCUCUUACCUCUCUACAGGUAUGUUUCCAACACUGCUGGUGAAGAUUUAGGAGAAAGUAAAGAUUUAGGAUAAAGUCUUCCUGAAGAGAAAAAUGAUGCAUCACUUGAAAAAAUAAAUUAGCAAAGAUGCUCGUGUAAUCAAUGAUACAUGCAAAAGUAGGAAAAAAGAUGUCUAAAAGCGACAGCUCUAUGUUGUCCCUUGAAUGCAUCUUCAGCUACUCUUUUCAUUACAGGUUAUAUCCAAGUUUACUGAUGUUGAAAAAAUACUAUUGUGAAAGCUGUCAUAUAGUUUGUAGAUAUAAAGUACUCAUGGUUUAUAGUUAGAUUUGCUGUUGCUUCCAGUUAGGGACUCACUCAGCUUCUAGAAAAUAGUAGAGGUUCAGAAGCUUCAUCGGUUUUAUUUAAAUCUGCACAAAAUGAGUGUAGGUUAAUUGGAACAACAGUUAUGAUCUUGUGUUAUAUGUUAUUCAUAGAGAGAGCUGUGCCUGCUUAGAAACCACCCUUAGACUAAACUUAAUCAGAUUUUUCAGAAUGUCUGUAUAUAAUUGCACUAGUAAAUUAAACAAUUCUGUCUUAGGUUUAUUUGUUUAUGAUUAAUAGCAUUCUGUAUGCAAACAAGACCAACAAAUUUAGUUUUCAAGGCUUUACAUCUCAGUGGCAUGACAUGGCAUUCCUUUUAAGGAAAAAAAAUGCAAGAUUCUACCUCAAAUGAUGAGUGGGUGUAACAGUUUGUAAACCACAAUGCCAUAAAACGUUAGUUGGUAAUUAAAUGUAUUUGAGUGUCUUUUGUGAUCACAAUGCAGAUAGUGCCAUCCUGCUAAAUCAAUUAGACAGCCCUGGAUUGUCCUUAUGUUGGGAGGACAUUUGUAUAAAACAAAAGGUAAUUUUGUCAUUAAACACAUGUGCUGUUUGACUUAAAGACUGUCUGCCCAAUGGAGAUUGCUUUUGAGUUAUGAGUUACUUUUGCAGCCAAAGCAUAAGGUUGUCUAGAAACUGGGGGCAGGGCUGUUCCAUUUCUUAAUUUCAUCCUGCCAAAAUAUGUAUGACAUGGGAGGGAGGCUGCAUAGUUGUGGGAAGUUUGGCAUAAAUCAUGCUGGACAUGAUAUACCCUCCUUGUUUUUCCAGCUUCUGCUGUAAAAUUACAUCACCAUGUAAACAGAGCCCUGUACAUGAUCUCAUGCUUGGUGUAUGGAAAAAGCCAUCACUAAAAUCAGCACCAUGUUCCACAAACAUUGCUCCAGCAGAUUUAUAUUCUUCUCUCCAGCUUAUGCUGAGGGAGAGUCCAUGGUCUCUCACAGUCUAUGGCAGAACUCCCAUUGUAAUCAGCAGCAGCAACUGGUCUUCAAGGUUGAUUUGGUUACUUCAGCAUUGUGAUAGUAUGAUUUAUCUUCCAAAAGGUCACAGACAGCUUAAUUUUUUUAACAUUUUAAAAGUAGCUAAAAAUCUGUCCAUGAUGUUUCUUUAGAAAUUUAGCAUCGUUGAAAAUGGAUUUGCAUCUUUUACAUGUAAUGCCAUUCUUUCCAUAGAUUUCAGUAGCUUUCAAACAAAAGCUCUGUAUCAAUUAUUCUGCUAUUGGUCUAAAUGUGCCACUUCUUUCUUCCUUUUACUUGCCUGUGGAGUGCUCUACUUGCUCUCUAUGCAUAAAUAAGUCUUCAAAUGAUGUCUGCUUCUGCAACUAACAUUCUGAUUAUCCAGUAAUAUUUCCCUUCUUUAGCUGGUACUGGGACCAGCAGCACUUCUUCCCUUCUUUUGAAGUUUAAAGAACUAGCUAAAAGCAUACAGCUUCCAAUCCUAGGACUUGGAUCGUGUCUGAUGCUCAGCGUUUCCUGAACUACGUUUGGCUGCAGCUUGGAUGGGAUGGUUCUUUUGAAGCUCCCUGAGUUCUCUGCUGUCUACUGCCACUGAAUACAACAAUGGGUUAAAUCAGCUGUAACUUUGUAUGUCUGUGCUAGAAUUUUUCUUCCUCAAAAAUUUACCUUAGGAAAUCAUUUUGAAUGGCAAGAAGAGGAGGAGCAAGCUGACCAUAGAUGACCAUCAGGUUGGUUGACUGUCUUUAUCUGUGAUGUUACACAAGGAGGAAGUGUGAUGAGAUCUGUAGCUCCAGCUGAAGAGAGGCCUGUGCCUCCUCCUGUGUGUAUGACCUGGGAAACACCUGUUAGCCUGAGGACUGGACUGCCAAAUACCAACGGGAGAUUCUCCGAUUUCUAAUGAAAAAUGAGCUCAUGACAGCAGGGAAACUGAGAGGUGACCCUCCCUUCUCUACCUGAAUGUUGGGUGGGUCUUUUUGUUUUUGUUUUCGUUUCGCUUGAAACCUUUGGAAACAGGAGUGACAUCUCU